CUAUUAACCCUUUUGCGCAUCUUUGAACACUAUCAAUUACUAAGCAAUUUGCAAGAACGACAUUAUAAAUAACAACUGGGGUCAGACUUAUUUUAAAAUGAUAUAUAUUGUUUCUUGUGCCCUGCCAUUUGAUAUGGUCGCUAAAGAGCAAAUGUUUCUUUUGAUUAAGGAUAUAGAUGGACAAAGAAAAUCACAUGAGAAAGCAUAGUGUUAACAAAAUAUUUAUUGACCUGAAAA
rnacentral:lncRNA from 1 species